rnacentral:rRNA from 1 species
AACGAACGCUGGCGGCAGGCCUAACACAUGCAAGUCGAGCGAGGACUUCGGUCCUAGCGGCGGACGGGUGAGUAACGCGUGGGAACGUGCCCUUUGCUUCGGAAUAGCCCUGGGAAACUGGGAGUAAUACCGGAUGAGCCCUUUGGGGGAAAGAUUUAUCGGCGAAGGAUCGGCCCGCGUUGGAUUAGGUAGUUGGUGGGGUAAUGGCCUACCAAGCCGACGAUCCAUAGCUGGUUUGAGAGGAUGAUCAGCCACACUGGGACUGAGACACGGCCCAGACUCUUAAGGGAGGAAGCAGGAGGGAAUCUUCCGCAAUGGGCGAAGGCGUGACGGAGCAACGCCGCGUGAGUGAUGAAGGUCUUCGGAGCGUAAAACUCUGUUAUUAGGGAAGAAGAAAAGUGUAAGUAACUAUGCACGUCUUGACGGUACCUAAUCAGAAAGCCACGGCUAACUACGUG